UAUUAAUGUUACAAUUGAUUGUGAAACCCUUCAUUUGAAGUUAUAUUGAAUGUCGAAAUUGAUUGAUUAGUUAUCAAUUGUGAAACUGCCCCUCCCUUCAGCGCAUUCAAUUGAACCCUAAACUCACAUGCGAUUAUCAAUUCCAGCAGUUCAAUCGUCUUUCCUUUAAUGGCCCUGUCCGUUUUUGUUGACCCCUCAUAUUAAGAAGUCGACCAUUGAAAUCAGCCACAAAGUUCCUACUUGAUUUCCCAAUUAUCAGGUUGAGUUUUGCUCUUCUCUUAUGCCAUUCGUCCAUGAGAUUUAGGGCUUUAAUUGGUUGAUCGAUUGCUAUAAGAGACCUUUUCAAGAUUCAUAAUCUACCACUGAACUGAGAAAUCUUACCAACGGUGGUGGUGCUAUUGGUCGUGAAACCUCUAACGACACUCCGAUUACCGGUAAUAAUUGUGUAGCGCAAUCCGUUGUAAUUCAAUGAAGUUUCUGGACUGGUACCUGAAGAUUGGAGUCGUAUCAGCUGCAAUCGGAGGCUCUAUGGAGUAUUUUAUGAUCAUAACCGGCUUCUGUAAGUCCCACCUUUUUUAUAAUGAUAUAAUCCACAGAUGUAUUAGUUAUUUCAGUUUUUAUCAUUUGCCAGUUGAAUUUCGUUUAUCUGUUUGUGUUUAUGAAACUAUAUAUUCUGGUUAAUCAUCACUAUUAGGGUUUUAUUUUAUCUUUAUUCAUCACCGGUGAAUUUUUAUAUUUAAUCUGAUUUUAUUUUAUUUUUUUUGGGUUUGAUUUCGGUUGUCGAAUCGUCGGACAAUAACUCUGCUGUUCUCGAGACGAAAUCGAAACGAAAUAAGUACGAAUGCUUGAACUGCAACAAGGUUUUUACGUCGUUUCAAGGGCUUGGCAGGCAUAGACCGUGUCACAAAAAGAACAAUACGGUCGGAUCAAAACACGACAGUGGCGAAAACAGUUUAGAAGGUGACUUUGCACAUACUUGAAAGGCAAAAUACGAUAAGAAAACGAAGGUGAAAAAGAUCAAAGGGCACGAAUUAAUGCCCGAUUUGUUUCAGGAUGUUUAAAUCGGGGCAAGCUUUAGGUGGUCACAAACGGUCUCAUUUUAUUAACGGGUCGAUGGAUCAUUAUGCGGCCAUGAGUCACGCGGCUCCAUGGUGUUCGGAGGUGUUGACUUAGCUAUAUACGUAGUUUGCUUUUUGCACUCUUUCAAUGAGGGCUAUUUAUAGUAGAACCCCAUAUUUAACAACUGUUCAUAUUUGAUAGAACAUGGUUAAAACUUAUAACAGUGAGUUGCUUCUUAUGCAUUUCAAGAAAAAUGAUUGGUCCUGUUGUUAUACAGGUUCUAAUGACUUGUUAUAUGUGUGC